UCUUCUCCAGAAGGCGCCGCUGCAGUCCCAAUUCCACUCUGGUGCUGCCCGCUGCAUUCGCAGCGCUGGUAGCCCGGUCUCGCUCCCCUGCUGCCGGUGGUUCCCUGUUUCCCUUGUUCGCCCAAUUUCGAGCAGCCCGUCGCUUCUUCAUCGCAUCCCACCAAUCAGGAUAUCCGACUAGGUGGAAGCACUGCUCCUUGGUGUGUUUCUGGCCUCCAAAGUGAGAGCACAAGAGCUUGUUCUUAUCUUCCUCGAAACGACGAUCCUCUCCACGGUGCGGAGUCUGCCCGCCUCGUCCGCCAUCGCCGCCGCCGCGAAUCGUCAAGCCCGCUGCAAUUCCGCCACUAUCAGCACCGACGGGUGUGGGUUUGAGCACGCUUUCGUUCGUCGCCUCCCUUCGGACGAUGGCGUAGGCGUUCUUCACCGACGGGAGUGGAUCCCGUUUUAGGAUGUCCUUCCUUGUUACUUCGUGGCUUUCAUUCAGAGCCAUCAAGAACUGUCGACAUCCAUAUGUUUUGGAGACGAAACCACAAUUGCUCCAAGGUCAUAUUGCCUUGUUUGAUGGUACUUGCUUUCACGUGUAAGUCGUAUACCUGUAGCGAAUCUCCUCGCCUGCCAUAGUUCACGGCCAGUGCCUCCCAUAGCUCCCUCUCCGUCGGAUAUUGCGAGACCUCAUUUACGAGUUCGGGUUCUAUGCUGUUAAUUAUCCACCCGAACAACAAUGAUCCAGCGUCUGCCAUGUUUCAUGAUCUGGAUCUGUGAUUGGUGGAGGCUCUGAAUCCCGAGAGAUGAUAAUCGCUUCCCACCAAUAGCUCGUUUUACGAGGGUCGCCCAGAGAGGGUUUCUACUCUUGGUUGAAAGGUCGGGAUUGGUAUGGACGGUGAUGAAAUUAUAUUCUGAGUCCCUUUUUCUCAACCUGCUCUGGUACCAUAUUGAAAUUGAUAUCCAAGAGAGAAGAGGAAGAGACAUUGUAGGAGAAUUGUAUUCUAUGUUGUAUUUCAUCAUUUGGAGUAAGCCUCUUAAUAUAGAGGCUUACCCUAAUUUACAAAUGGUAAUACUAUCUCGUAUUUUUGGUGGUAUCAAUCACACAUUAAUUACAAGAUCAA